rnacentral:tRNA from 2 species
GACCUAUUAGGUCAGUUGAUUAGAGCGUUGUGUCAAUAACGCAAAAGUCAUAGGUUCAAUUUCUUUAUGGGCCA